AUUGAACGCUGGCGGCAUGCCUUACACAUGCAAGUCGAACGGCAGCGCGGGGCAACCUGGCGGCGAGUGGCGAACGGGUGAGUAAUAUAUCGGAACGUACCCUGGAGUGGGGGAUAACGUAGCGAAAGUUACGCUAAUACCGCAUACGAUCUAAGGAUGAAAGUGGGGGAUCGCAAGACCUCAUGCUCCUGGAGCGGCCGAUAUCUGAUUAGCUAGUUGGUAGGGUAAAAGCCUACCAAGGCAUCGAUCAGUAGCUGGUCUGAGAGGACGACCAGCCACACUGGAACUGAGACACGGUCCAGACUCCUACGGGAGGCAGCAGUGGGGAAUUUUGGACAAUGGGCGCAAGCCUGAUCCAGCAAUGCCGCGUGAGUGAAGAAGGCCUUCGGGUUGUAAAGCUGUUUUGUCAGGGAAGAAACGGGUUUUUCUAAUACAGAGACCUAAUGACGGU
rnacentral:rRNA from 1 species